UACGAAGGGUGCAAGCGUUACUCGGAAUUACUGGGCGUAAAGCGUGCGUAGGCGGUUUGUUAAGUCUGCUGUGAAAGCCCCGGGCUCAACCUGGGAACGGCAGUGGAUACUGGUAAGCUAGAGUGUGUCAGAGGAUGGUGGAAUUCCCGGUGUAGCGGUGAAAUGCGUAGAGAUCGGGAGGAACAUCAGUGGCGAAGGCGGCCAUCUGGGACAACACUGACGCUGAGGCACGAAAGCGUGGGGAGCAAACAGG
rnacentral:rRNA from 1 species